rnacentral:rRNA from 1 species
UACAGAGGGUGCGAGCGUUAAUCGGAAUUACUGGGCGUAAAGCGUGCGUAGACGGUUUUGUAAGUCGGAUGUGGAAUCCCCGGGCUCAACCUGGGAAUUGCAUUCGAGACUGCAAGGCUUGGGUGCGGAAGAGGGAAGCGGAAUUUCCGGUGUAGCGGUGAAAUGCGUAGAUAUCGGAAGGAACAUCAGUGGCGAAAGCGGCUUCCUGGUCCAGCACCGACGUUCAGGCACGAAAGCGUGGGGAGCAAACAGG